GGUUCCUGCAGCGAGACGGAGAGAAGAGUUUACAUUCAGCUGUGAUCCCCGAUAGUCUGCAGCAUUUUACCAUCAGACAUCCUCCUGACAGUGUGGCCCAACAUGAAGACACAUUUAUACAAAAUACAACAGAAGCAGAAGAUCUUCUUCAACCUGCGUAACCAGAACCUGAAGAUGAUCAUUUCACUUUGAUUCAAAACAGAACAAUCAGCAAAUCUUCACACUGAGACUGAAAUCAGCAAACACGGUAGAUUUAUUAAUUAUUCAUUACGAGAUUUUCAUAAUAUCUGCUGAUCAUUUUCUCAUUAUCAAAUAGACUUUAGACUUUUAUUCAUCCUGCAUCUGGGAAAGUCACUUGUCACAAUAGCAGGUAGACAGACAUACAAACAUACAAUAAGUACAGGACUUUAGAAUACUAAAAAAGAUUUGAAUAAGAGAGAAAUGAUAAAACACAGAUCAACGUAUUUAGCAGCAGUAUAUUCUCGCUGUUUUAGAGAUCGAGUCGAAUCAUUUAUAGUUUCUCCUCAUGGACAAAAUAUCAGAUUGAUUACUUCAUGUACUUUCCAAUAUGAAUAUUGAUAUAAUGUUGGAACCGAGAUUGUCAUCUGUAGUCUUAUUGUUACUGAUGAGUUUGUGUAGAUUGAUUUGCUCUUGGAACUUGAAUAAUUUAUUUUAUCUUCA